GUCUACGGCCAUGCCACCCUGAACAAGCCCGAUUCCAUCUUGAUCUCGGAAACUAAGCAGGGUCGGGCCUGGUUAGUACUUGGAUGGGAGACCACCUAAGAAGACCAGGUGCUGAAGGCG
rnacentral:rRNA from 1 species